AAACUAACGUUGGUAAGGAUGGA
rnacentral:siRNA from 1 species